AUACUUACCUGGCAGGGGAGAUACCAUGAUCACGAAGGUGGUUUUUUCCCUACCUCACCGCCCUAAGC
rnacentral:snRNA from 1 species